AUGAACUGCCCUUCUGCUACUCAAAGAGCAUGGAUACACCAUGGAAACAGCACCAAGAGCAACUGGACCAACAACUUCAGAGAGAAAUUGGGCUCCAAUAGCUUGCAUCAAGUUCUGAAGAAGAAAGAGAACUUCGAACAUAGAGAUAGUAGUCCAGCCGAGCUCCAAAAUCAUUGGCUUAGCCUGCAGAUUCACCAACAAGUCUCCUUGCACCUGAAGAAGUCCAUCCUUGCAACUGAAAUAGUACAAGAACAAAUGAAGCAGAGUAUCUUGAACAGAGAAGAAAUAGACAACCAAGAAGCAAAGAGCUAG
rnacentral:rRNA from 1 species